CUAGGACAUCUCACAUCUUCUUUAGCGUCGAAAUUACAACCAACACCUCCACAUUCUAAAAGCUCAUCAAAUCUAUUUUCUUCUCAAAACCUCUUUACUCUCUUAAAACCUUCAUCUUCAACCAAAUAAAAUCUCUCAAAACCUCCAUCAAUUUAUCAAAUUAAAUUCUGCACAAACAUAAACAAAACCAAAGCUCAUCAAAUCUUUGUUGGGUUUAUCAUCAAAGCUUGAGUUGAUCCGGAUUUUUUUCAAGAUUUUCAUAAAAUCCAUUUUCUCUUUUUAAGAAACUAGAUUGGAAGGUGAAAAUGAAGGCAAAUUGUUGCACACAUACCUUGGCUAAUCUCGGUUUCAAUGGAGGUUUUGAACUUUUGAUACCAUUAAUUUUGAUGAAUGUCCUUCUAACAUUAGAAUGUUCUAUGAUGAUGAUAUCCAUGGAGUGGCUACUCCUAAGAUUGGGGUUUCAUAGUCUCUUCUGUUUCGGGUCCUAGCCCCUCCUCUUUUCUUAAAGCAAAAAUUUCAUUUAAGAUUUUUACACGUUAAAAAUGUAAUAAAAUUGUUUAAAAAGCAUUACAUUUUAAUUAGUUUAUGAGCAGAGUUUUGUAGAUGGCCUAAGGAUGAAAUAGAGUGCUUGAAGAUCUUACUUGGAUAAACUCCAUUUCUAUCAAACCUUAUUCUUUUUCUGUUCUAUCUAGCAAUUACUAAGAUCAAGCUUACCCUAUAAAGCUGCAAUUAUUUGUUUAGUUUCAGCAGUAACUUCGAAUGCUAAAAUAACAGUAGUAGUUAUGUCAUAGAUUUUUGUUUAUUUCAAUCACAAUCUCAAUUCUACCAACUCAAACAAUAACAAGAUAAACUUUUCAAGUCUAAAAUUAAAAAGGAAUAAGUACCAAAUAUGACAUAUUCAAUCAAAAUCUGUCAUCUCAGAAGCAGAACAAGAAGCUCCCACAUUAUACAUGAGGAAGCAAAUCAAAUAACAAAAAUUAUCAGGAAUCUGAAUCACUUUCCUCAUCAGAGUAACUUUUGUUGACCUUGUUCAUAGCAGAUUCAAAGACGCUCUCAAGCUCCCUCAAACAAUCCACAAACUUAAACGGUUGAGCUUGGAACUUACACAAUCAUCCUUCAUUACUUUCUUCACGGUGUAGAGAUAAUCGUCCAAAGCAUUUAUUGCUUUAGCUUUCUUUUUGAACUUCAUGUCUUGAGCCUUGAAAAAUUCAGCCUCUUGAAUCAUUCUCUCAAUUUCUUCCCUUGACAGUCUUUCAUUUUCAUUUGUUAUUGUAAUUUCUUUCUUAUUACCACUAGUUU